AAGGAAGGACCCUCUGCCCCCGCCGGCCUUAAAGUCUGCGGCGGUGAAAAAGGCUCCUCUUCCGAAGGAGAAGACCCCCGUCCUCCCAGACAGCACCAAGACCCAGCAGAGACCUUUCCUCCAUUAUGGUGUCCUGGAGCCGAUCAAGAGGAAGGACACUCUGGUCUUAAAGUCUGCGGCGGUGAAGAAGGCUCCUCUUAAGAAGGGGACGACCAAAAUCCUUCCACCACUCACCAAGACCCAGCAGAGAGAGCUCCGCCAUGCUGGUGCCCUGGAGCCAAUCAAAAGGAAGGACCCUCUGCCCCCGCCGGCCUUAAAGUCUGCGGUGGUGAAAAAGGCUCCUCUUAGGAAAGGAAAGACCCCCGUCCUCCCAGACAGCACCAAGACCCAGCUGAGACCCCUCCGCCUUGCUGCUAUCCUGCAGAGAGCGCAGAAACAGGAGAAGAACUGGAGUUGUGAUAGCAAACGAAUGACCGCAGCAG
ensembl:lncRNA